rnacentral:rRNA from 1 species
UACGUAGGUGGCAAGCGUUGUCCGGAUUUACUGGGCGUAAAGAGCGCGCAGGCGGUCGGAUCAGUCGAAUGUGAAAGCCCCCGGCUCAACUGGGGAGGGUCAUUCGAUACUGUCCGACUCGAAGGCAGGAGAGGGAAGCGGAAUUCCCGGUGUAGUGGUGAAAUGCGUGGAUAUCUGGAGGAACACCGGUGGCGAAGGCGGCAUCCUGGACCGGCAUUGACGCUGAGGCGCGAAAGCCAGGGGAGCAAACGGG